rnacentral:pre_miRNA from 1 species
CUUUCAGAGCCGUAGUUUGGCACGAUUCAAUGGUUGUGUAAUUCUUUGAAUUUGUAUCUCUCCCUUGCACCGUGCCAAGCUGCGUGCACCUGAAAG